rnacentral:lncRNA from 1 species
CAGUGCCCACUUUGUUCACCUCUGCUCACUGGGGGAGCCAGGACACGGAUCCAGGUUUUCUGACUCCGGGUCUCAGGCUUGCUCCAUAGCGCCACCUGCUGGUGACGGCAAUCGGUAGGCACCCAAAUCAAGACUCAGAUUUCCUCAUCUCAGAAGUUGUCCACUUCUUCUCCGACCUCCACGGUAACUCGGAACCACACCGUGGAGUUAUCCCUGUGUCCUCUUUCUCGGAAGUUCCACAUCCAACCCCUCAGCAGGUCUCAGCGGCACUCUCACCACCUCCUCUGCUCUGUUCCUGUUUCUCUUGGAUGGCCGAAUGUUUCCUAAGGAGUGUCUGCUGCUUCACGCUUGCCCCCUGGAGUGGCAUCUAAAAGGAUACCCUACAACUAACAGGCAUGAUGCCAUCAAGACAUCUUGAGCCUGGCUACCUCCCGUGGCCUGUAUUUUGUCCACAGGAAACUUGCGCAGUCUCACUACAGCAAAUUGAGGUGGUAUGGGGUGCCUGCUGCUGCCUCUCUCCUCACGUUUCCACAGAGGGCUGCCCCAGCCUGACUCCCACUUCCAGAGUUUCUCCAGCCAGGAGAAUCCUGAAAUCUCUGUAAAUAAGCAAUCCAGGAGCCAGAGAAUCAUGGGAUCUCAUAUAAACAAAUCAUCCAGGAAAAACACAGCCAGAGUCUCCAUUUGGUAAACCUCCGUGACUGGGGAUCCCCUGCCACCCAGAAAGCAGUAUUGCCUGCAAUGCAUGUCAUCACUGAUUUUUACUGCUGCAGCAGACUCCGUCAGACCUGCCUGCUUCUUCAGCGA